rnacentral:rRNA from 1 species
UACGGGGGGAGCAAGCGUUGUUCGGAUUUACUGGGCGUAAAGGGCGCGUAGGUGGCCACCGCAAGUCGACUGUGAAAUCUCCGGGCUUAACCCGGAACGGUCAGCCGAUACUGCGGGGCUAGAGUGCAGAAGGGGCAACUGGAAUUCUCGGUGUAGCGGUGAAAUGCGUAGAUAUCGAGAGGAACACCUGCGGCGAAGGCGGGUUGCUGGGCUGACACUGACGCUGAGGCGCGAAAGCUAGGGGAGCGAACGGG